GCCUUUGUGGUGUAGAGGUCAGCACGCUUGACGUGUAAUCGAGAGGUCCGUGGUUCCAUUCCCGGCGAAGGUG
rnacentral:tRNA from 1 species